CACGUAGGGUGCGAGCGUUGUCCGGAAUUAUUGGGCGUAAAGGGCUCGUAGGCGGCCAACUAAGUCGGACGUGAAAUCCCCAGGCUCAACCUGGGAACUGCGUCCGAUACUGGAUGGCUUGAAUUCGGGAGAGGGAUGCAGAAUUCCAGGUGUAGCGGUGAAAUGCGUAGAUAUCUGGAGGAAUACCGGUGGCGAAGGCGGCAUCCUGGACCGACAUUGACGCUGAGGAGCGAAAGCUAGGGGAGCAAACGGG
rnacentral:rRNA from 1 species